CUUCACUUGACCCAAAAUGGAGUCCAGCACUUAGCUUCAAACACUAUGGAAGCCACUCUGGGCCACUGUGGCUCCAGAGAAAGACAUAGUAAAUGUUGCCUGCAGAUGCCAGCCUCAAAAGAGUGAUCCUUAUCUUUGACACCUGGAGACUGGAUUACUGCCCUGCUUUUGGAAUCCCCCAGAGGUAGCAGCAUCUUGAGGGUAAUGCCAGACACGAUCUGCUCCAUAAGUGUCUCUCUGUGCUCAUGAAGAUUAAGUGACUUGCAGCAGUGGACAUGUGUCUUUUGGGAGGUUUUCUCUGUGUGCGUUCACAGGCCAGAUGCAUUCAGACAACUGCAACAAAAGCUCUCCUGUGCCAAAGACAUUGCUGCUGCGACCUGGAGGAAGAACCAUCUGUAGGGGUGACAAUUCAAUUCCUGAACCUGCUCAGCUCUGACCUUGUUUGAUUAUCUCCUGGCUGAAUCUCAGAAGAACCCUAGCAAACCACAGGCUUCACAGAGGAUGCGAAUUGCAAUGGAAUCUACAACAGCAGCAACAACAACAACAAAGUUCAACCAAACCUUUUAAUGUGAGAGCUGUUUACAUGUAAAUAUUUGUUAGGAAAGAGCCCCUGUAGCCCUCUGCUGAUGUGCCUGAAUUCAACCCUUCCUCUGGGUUUACUUUUUAAUUCUGCAGCCAGAGUAUUAGCAAUAUUAAACUGAAAAUGUCACAGAAUGUCAAGUCUGAAAAUGUCACAGAGAAAAGGAAGGGGGAAAAAAAGAAAAGAUGGUGACCCUGUACUAUCAGCAGAUGAAAUAAAUAUGCCUCACUGGUACAGUACAGUGGUUUCUUGGUGGGUAUAAUUUUAUACAUUUUGCAUCCUAUUAAUUUUCAUGGCAUCGAUGGAGAAAUAUUAGAACAGCGAGAGUGCUGAAGACAAAUUAACUCAUCAAUUACAUGUAUGGGACAGUUGAGACUGAGUUUAUUUCACCAUUUCCAAUUGCAAUAAAACUGUAAUUAC